rnacentral:rRNA from 1 species
GACGAACGCUGGCGGCGUGCUUAACACAUGCAAGUCGAACGGUAAGGCCCUUCGGGGUACACGAGUGGCGAACGGGUGAGUAACGCGUGAGUAACCUGCCCUUGACUCUGGGAUAACAGAUGGAAACGUCUGCUAAUACCGGAUACUCAGCCUUGUGGGCAUCCGCAGGGUUGGAAAGCUCCGGCGGUCAAGGAUGGACUCGCGUCCUAUCAGCUAGUUGGUGGGGUAACGGCCUACCAAGGCGACGACGGGUAGCCGGCCUGAGAGGGCGACCGGCGGCAUUGGGACUGAGAGACGGCCCAGACUCCUAGGGGAGGCAGGAGUGGGGAAUAUUGCACAAUGGGCGAAAGCCUGAUGCAGCAACGCCGCGUGCGGGAUGACGGCCUUCGGGUUGUAAACCGCUUUCAGCAGGGACGAAGCGCAAGUGACGGUACCUGCAGAAGAAGCACCGGCUAACUACGUGCCAGCAGCCGCCGUAAAAC